rnacentral:misc_RNA from 1 species
GUGAAUCAUCGAAUUUUUGAACGCAAAUUGCACUCUCUUCGGAGAGUGUGCCUGUGUGAGGGUCAGAAUAUAAAAAAUCGACAUCGUGGCUAUUUCGCGGUGGGGUUCGUCGGAAAUGGGGUCAUCUUAAAUCCGUGUGAUUUAAGAGACUUAAAAUUUUCUUUUGGUUCCAUGAACGUGUCGAAGAUAUAUUUCUUUACACGAUUAAGGUAUCGAUUUUCACUAGAUGGGACGA